rnacentral:rRNA from 1 species
AACGAGGCGAACCGGGGGAACUGAAACAUCUAAGUACCCCGAGGAAAAGAAAUCAACCGAGAUUCCCCCAGUAGCGGCGAGCGAACGGGGAGCAGCCCGGAGUCUGAAUCAGCUUGUGUGUUAGUGGAAGCGUCUGGAAAGUCGCAGGGUACAGGGUGAUACUCCCGUACACUAAAACACACAGGUUGUGAACUCGAAGAGUAGGGCGGGACACGUGGUAUCCUGUCUGAAUAUGGGGGGACCAUCCUCCAAGGCUAAAUACUCCUGACUGACCGAUAGUGAACCAGUACCGUGAGGGAAAGGCGAAAAGAACCCCGGCGAGGGGAGUGAAAAAGAACCUGAAACCGUGUACGUACAAGCAGUAGGAGCCCACUAGUUGGGUGACUGCGUACCUUUUGUAUAAUGGGUCAGCGACUUAUAUUCUGUAGCAAGGUUAACCGUAUAGGGGAGCCGCAGGGAAACCGAGUCUUAACUGGGCGUUAAGUUGCAGGGUAUAGACCCGAAACCCGGUGAUCUAGCCAUGGGCAGGUUGAAGGUUGGGUAACACUAACUGGAGGACCGAACCGACUAAUGUUGAAAAAUUAGCGGAUGACUUGUGGCUGGGGGUGAAAGGCCAAUCAAACCGGGAGAUAGCUGGUUCUCCCCGAAAGCUAUUUAGGUAGCGCCUCGUGAACUCAUCUUCGGGGGUAGAGCACUGUUUCGGCUAGGGGGUCAUCCCGACUUACCAACCCGAUGCAAACUACGAAUACCGAAGAAUGUUAUCACGGGAGACACACGGCGGGUGCUAACGUCCGUCGUGAAGAGGGAAACAACCCAGACCGCCAGCUAAGGUCCCAAAGUCAUGGUUAAGUGGGAAACGAUGUGGGAAGGCCCAGACAGCCAGGAUGUUGGCUUAGAAGCAGCCAUCAUUUAAAGAAAGCGUAAUAGCUCACUGGUCGAGUCGGCCUGCGCGGAAGAUGUAACGGGGCUAAACCAUGCACCGAAGCUGCGGCAGCGACACUAUGUGUUGUUGGGUAGGGGAGCGUUCUGUAAGCCGUUGAAGGUGGCCUGUGAGGGUUGCUGGAGGUAUCAGAAGUGCGAAUGCUGACAUAAGUAACGAUAAUGCGGGUGAAAAACCCGCACGCCGGAAGACCAAGGGUUCCUGUCCAACGUUAAUCGGGGCAGGGUGAGUCGACCCCUAAGGCGAGGCCGAAAGGCGUAGUCGAUGGGAAACAGGUUAAUAUUCCUGUACUCGGUGUUACUGCGAAGGGGGGACGGAGAAGGCUAUGUUGGCCGGGCGACGGUUGUCCCGGUUUAAGCAUGUAGGCGGAUGUUCCAGGUAAAUCCGGAACGUUACUAACGCUGAGGUGUGAUGACGAGGCACUACGGUGCUGAAGUGACAAAUGCCCUGCUUCCAGGAAAAGCCUCUAAGCAUCAGGUAACAUCAAAUCGUACCCCAAACCGACACAGGUGGUCAGGUAGAGAAUACCAAGGCGCUUGAGAGAACUCGGGUGAAGGAACUAGGCAAAAUGGUGCCGUAACUUCGGGAGAAGGCACGCUGAUGGUAGGUGAAGUGACUUGCUCAUGGAGCUGAAAUCAGUCGAAGAUACCAGCUGGCUGCAACUGUUUAUUAAAAACACAGCACUGUGCAAACACGAAAGUGGACGUAUACGGUGUGACGCCUGCCCGGUGCCGGAAGGUUAAUUGAUGGGGUUAUCCGUAAGGAGAAGCUCUUGAUCGAAGCCCCGGUAAACGGCGGCCGUAACUAUAACGGUCCUAAGGUAGCGAAAUUCCUUGUCGGGUAAGUUCCGACCUGCACGAAUGGCGUAAUGAUGGCCAGGCUGUCUCCACCCGAGACUCAGUGAAAUUGAACUCGCUGUGAAGAUGCAGUGUACCCGCGGCAAGACGGAAAGACCCCGUGAACCUUUACUAUAGCUUGACACUGAACACUGGUCCUUGAUGUGUAGGAUAGGUGGGAGGCUUUGAAGUGUGGACGCCAGUCUGCAUGGAGCCAUCCUUGAAAUACCACCCUUUAAUGGCUGGUGUUCUAACGUGGGCCCGUAAUCCGGGUUGCGGACAGUGUCUGGUGGGUAGUUUGACUGGGGCGGUCUCCUCCUAAAGAGUAACGGAGGAGCACGAAGGUCAGCUAAUCCUGGUCGGACAUCAGGAGGUUAGUGCAAUGGCAUAAGCUGGCUUGACUGCGAGCGUGACGGCGCGAGCAGGUGCGAAAGCAGGUCAUAGUGAUCCGGUGGUUCUGAAUGGAAGGGCCAUCGCUCAACGGAUAAAAGGUACUCCGGGGAUAACAGGCUGAUACCGCCCAAGAGUUCAUAUCGACGGCGGUGUUUGGCACCUCGAUGUCGGCUCAUCACAUCCUGGGGCUGAAGUAGGUCCCAAGGGUAUGGCUGUUCGCCAUUUAAAGUGGUACGCGAGCUGGGUUUAGAACGUCGUGAGACAGUUCGGUCCCUAUCUGCCGUGGGCGCUGGAGAAUUGAGGGGGGCUGCUCCUAGUACGAGAGGACCGGAGUGGACGCAUCACUGGUGUUCGGGUUGUCAUGCCAAUGGCAUUGCCCGGUAGCUAAAUGCGGAAGAGAUAAGUGCUGAAAGCAUCUAAGCACGAAACUUGCCCCGAGAUGAGUUCUCCCUGACUCCUUGAGAGUCCUGAAGGAACGUUGAAGACGACGACGUUGAUAGGCCGGGUGUGUAAGCGCAGCGAUGCGUUGAGCUAACCGGUACUAAUGAACCGUGAGGCUUAACCUUACAACGCCGAAG